GCGCAGGUGGUGGAAUGGUAGACACGCUGUCUUGAGGGGGCAGUGGGAGCAAUCCCGUAAGAGUUCGAGUCUCUUCCUGCGCACCA
rnacentral:tRNA from 2 species